UCAUACAGCGUUUGCAGUGUUUGUGUAGUAUAUUUGUUUGACUGGAAAUACGUGGAUAUACUUUAUACAUGUGCAUACUGAAUGAGUGACACUUUUGCUUGCUCUCUGAAGUUAGCGCGCUAAGCGGAAAAGUUAGCAUAGCUAACUAACCACUUUGCUGAAUUGCUUUCAAUCUACAGAAGUUAGAGGAUGAAGCGAAAACACGAUAUAUCACAAUUUUUUGCAAGAGUGGAAGUACUAGUGAGAAGAAAAGUGAGAAUGUUGAGAAGCAGAACCCCGAUGUAGAAGAAUUAUGCAGUGAGGAUGAGUCCAGGGUGAGAACAGGGACAGAAGGUGCAGAUGAUGAAUCAAGAAUUUCUGGACCUGCAGACAUAUCCCAGUCAAGAGCAGAAGGACCCAAGCAGCCACAACUUAAAUUCUUCCCUCGGACCCUUCUAGGCAGCCAGAGAAGGAGCUUCAUGAAAGAGUGGUACUCUGUCCAUAAAUGGCUGGAGUAUUCCCAAAGUAAAGAUGCUGCCUUCUGUUACGCUGUCGGCAUUUCGGUCUUUCCUCUGCAAGAGAUUCUGCAUUUACAGCAGAGGGUUUUAAGCACUGGAAAAAGGCUUCAUACUCUGAUGGAGGAUUUGCUGCACAUGCAAAGUCAGAGUCCCAUAGAAAUGCCAUGAUGGCCUGGAUAGACUAUGAGAAAAUGCCAAAGAGCAUAUGUGCAUCCCUGAGCACAGGGAAUGAAAAAUUAAUUAAAGAGAACCGUGAAUAUGUGAAAGCUAUAGGUGAGGCCCUACUUCUAACUGCAACUAAAAAUAUUGCUCUGAGAGGUCAUGAUGAGACACAUGAUGGAAACAAAGGAAAUUUCCUAAGUAUAAUGGAAUUGUUGGGCAAACAUGAUAAACUGGUGG